rnacentral:rRNA from 1 species
NGAACAUAGCGAAAUGCGAUACCUGGUGUGAAUUGCAGAAUCCCGCGAACCAUCGAGUCUUUGAACGCAAGUUGCGCCCGAGGCCACUCGGCCGAGGGCAUGCCUGCCUGGGCGUCA